rnacentral:rRNA from 1 species
UACAGAGGGGCAAGCGUUAUUCGGAAUUAUUGGGCGUAAAGGGCGCGUAGGCGGCCGUGCAAGUGGAAGAUGAAAUCCCUCGGCUCAACCGAGGAACUGCCUUUCAAACUGCUUGGCUUGAGUCCGGGAGAGGUGAGUGGAAUUCCCAGUGUAGCGGUGAAAUGCGUAGAUAUUGGGAGGAACACCAGUGGCGAAGGCGGCUCACUGGACCGGAACUGACGC